GUAUACUCUGACAGAAAGAGACAGAGGAGUGAAGUGGCGUGCUGCCUGCCACCUCCAGACUUGACCCAGGUUUCACAGCAGAAUUAAAAAUCUUUGAAGACUCAAAAAUCAGAAGCAAUCUUUUCUAUGACUAAGAUUUGGAGAAGAGAUCUGGGAGAGGACUGUUUUUAUACUGAUUCCAUAGCUGACCUACCUCUCUCCCACAUUAUGCUGUGCCCGGGCCCUGGUUACAUCCUCUUGGCGUUGUUACCAGGGAUAUUUGCCUUACCAGUGUUCCUGCAGAGCCUCUACAUAAAGCACCUCUCAAAGCUUGGGAAGAACAACAGAUAAUUCAACAGGUGAUUCAAUCAUGACACCAAAACAAAAUUUUGUCCCAAUAAAGGAAAAGUAUUCA
rnacentral:lncRNA from 1 species